rnacentral:rRNA from 1 species
UAGGGAAUCUUCCACAAUGGACGCAAGUCUGAUGGAGCAACGCCGCGUGAGUGAAGAAGGCUUUCGGGUCGUAAAACUCUGUUAUUGAAGAAGAACGUGUGUGACAGUAACUGGUCAUGCAGUGACGGUAUUCAAUCAGAAAGUCACGGCUAACUACGUGCCAGCAGUCGCGGUAAUACGUAGGUGGCAAGCGUUGUCCGGAUUUAUUGGGCGUAAAGCGAGUGCAGGCGGUCUUUUAAGUCUGAUGUGAAAGCCUUCGGCUUAACCGAAGAAGGGCAUCGGAAACUGGGAGACUUGAGUGCAGAAGAGGAGAGUGGAACUCCAUGUGUAGCGGUGAAAUGCGUAGAUAUAUGGAAGAACACCAGUGGCGAAGGCGGCUCUCUGGUCUGUAACUGACGCUGAGGCUCGAAAGCGUGGGUAGCAAACAGGAUUAGAUACCCUGGU